GGGGGGGAGGGCGCGGCAAGCGUGGGCUGAGAGAAGACAGGAAGGAAGGGGAAGUGCGUGGGGAAGGCGAAGAGGCAGACCGUGAGAAAAGCUCUCCGCUCAGGUGUGGCUGCACCGAAGGUGGAGGGACUGCAAGCGUUGAGCUCCGCGUGCUGGUGCACACUUAUAACCUCAGUGCCAAGGAAGCUGAGGCCAGCCUGAGCUACGUAUGUAGUGAAAACCAAAAAUAGGAGGGGAGAUGUAGCUCGGUUGGGAGAGGUUUGCUGAGUAUCCUCAAAACUCCGGGCUGGAUCCCAGCACUGUGUAAACAAGGUAUGGCAGGGUCAGCCUUUAAGCUUAGCAUGUAGGAGACAGGGGAUCAGACGGGUCACCUUAAGCUACAUAAUGAGACCCGGCCUCAAAGGGACACCACAAGAUAGGAAGUGACUCGAAAGGAAAUCCACCUAGGAAAGGGCGUGCUGCAGAAGCUGAGGGAAGAAAGUAAGACCGGAAGGAAGGGCUGAGGGGGAGGUCAAGCGCAGGCGGAGGUCUCAGGAGCUCAGUGGGGAAAAGUUUAAACACAGUGAGUUAACGUGAAGGCCAAAGUUAGGUUUUAAAUUAACGAUUAUUGUCCCUAUGAAAGCGGUAGAACAAAAAAUGCCUCUAACCUGAAAGCCCCACUUGCCCCAAACAGAUAACCUCAUGUAAUGCUGGAGGCUGUUGUUCACGUUAGAUAACCAGCCACCAGCUCCCACUCCUGUAAAGAAGGCUGGAUGCCCCACCGGCUUGAAGGGCUGGAUCCCAGUGCACACAGGGCUAACAGGGACCCGCUGGACAGAAAGGAAGGAUGGCCUCUCUGGUAGCACCUACUGUCUCUCUCUUCAACGAGGUGAGGGAAAGGAGGGGUGUCGGCCAGCCCUUGAAGCUCUUACCACAAGAUGAAGCAGAUGCCAAGGAAAGAGUUGUGAGAUGAAAAGCAGAAGAGACUCAGAAAUGCUGCAAACCCCAGUUCCACCAUCCUCGAAGACAGAAUGGGAAAUGGGAACAAAUGGAAGGGCGCCUGUGCUUCUAGGUAUAAUCAGAGUGAACACAAGGACCUUGAGCUGGACCGUGUGAGGAGAUGGGAGCGCCAGGAGAGGAAACCAGAGACAAAAAGGCCAGGACAGCCAUUUGAUGGGACCGGAUUCCCACUAUGGUGAGCCAGUGGUCCACAAGGAUCAACAGGCCUGUCCCACUCAGCGGACCGUUGUCUAGAAUGUCAAGCAGGCCUGUUUCUGCACGGUGGCUUAUUUUAGAAAAAUGCAGGAAACCAUCCAGGACCUCUUGAAGUACCAGUCUGGCUCUGAGGCACCUAUCUGAAAGUCCACCAGGAUUAUGUGUCACAUAUGAUGUAAUUCUUGUCGGGGAAAAAUACCGAAUCAGGUCUUGCGUUUGGCAAGUCCUUCACUGACAGCCACCUAGAGGGAUGCCAAAGUCACAGCCUCGGCAUACUCUCACUUCGAGGAGACAGAACGGAAGGAAUGGAUCAGUCUUUCUAACAACUUCUGUUUCUAACUUUCCACAACACAAAGACAUGAAGAAACUUGGCAGGCUUGAGAGAUGGCUCAGUGGGCAAGAGUACCAACUGCUUUUCCAGAGGUCCUGAGUUCAAUUCCCAGUGACCUACAUGGUGGCUCACAACCAUCUGUCAUGGUAUGCAAUGCUCUCUUCUUCUUGUGGGCUUGAAGGGAGUGACAGUGUACUCAUAUACAUUAAAUAAAUCUUUAAAAAGUAAAAAUAAAGGCUGGAGAGAUGGCUCGGCGGUUAAGAGCACUGACUGCUCUUCUGAAGGUCCCGAGUUCAAAUCCAAGCAACCACAUGGUGGCUCACAACCAUCUGUAAUGAGAUUGGAUGCCUUUUUCUGGUGUGUCUGAAAACAGCUACAGUGUACUUGCAUAUAAAAAGUAAAUAAAUCUAAAAUAAAUAAAAUAAUAAAAAAAGAAACUACUUGCAUGAGC